CUUUGUUCCAUGGAGCAAGCCAGCUUCUCCUGCAGACAACCAGAAUGAGAAUGUACAGUCUGAUGCCCUGCGGAAAUCAGGCAAGUUACACUAAAACAGUUUGGCUACUUACCAUGCGAUGACACCAUAAUUACUACAGUGCUGUAGUGGUUAUGGUGCUUUGAGUAAUUCUUUAAUAAAUCGAUUUAGAUUUUUUUUUUAAAACCACACACCAUUUGAUUUUGUGUACACCAUUUGAUU